UCUUCAUCCCCCACCUGUCUCUUCCUCCCUCGCCCCAAUACAGUUUGACAAAGUUUUUUUUUUUUUUUUUAAUCACUUUCAGUCCAGUGGCCAGAUCCCUAGACUUGUGGGCAGGAAUCUGGGCUUGCCUUAUGCUCACUAGCAACUUGACCUUGACCCCGACACUGCUCAAUCUCAUUUUUCUCACUUGGAAUUUGGAUAUAUUUUUUUUCUGGCCCACUUUGCAGUUUUGUGACUCUCAGAGGAUAAAUAAUUGAUUUAAAGCACUUUUCAGGCUGAGCAUGGUGGCUCACGCUUGUAAUCCCAGCACUUUGAGAGGCUGAGGCAGGUGGAUCACCUGAGGUCAGGAGUUCCAGACCAGCCUGGCCAACAUGGUGAAAUCCUGUUUCUACUAAAAAUACAGUAAUUAGCUGGGAGUGAUGGCACACAUGUGUAAUCCCAGCUACUUGGGAGGCUGAGGCAGGAGAAUCACUUGAACCCAGGAGGCAGAGGUUACAGUGAGCCGAGAUUGCACCAGUGCACUCCAGCCUGGGCGACAAGAGCAAAACUCCGUCUCAAAACCCUUGUUAGAAACAAAUGUUUAUUCCUCGGUGCCAAAAAGGACUAGUGCUCAGACAAAGAAUGUUCUCAGCAAGGCAAUUUUACUUGCAGCAGAAAGAAACAUAAGUAUGGCCUCACCGUUUUCUUGGAGUAGCUUUUUGCCAACCUGAAAGAAAGAAGCUAAGGCAAAGAUUAAUAUAAGUAGAGAAUUUAUUGGGCCACGCUUGAGGAUUGCAACCAGGGAGCGCAGAUUCGAACUGCUCUGGAUAUGCACUCUGAUCAGCAGCAGUUACAAAUGGAAUUGUUAAAGGUAAAGAAGAAGCUCCUGAGUUGUUUACCAAUAAUUUACAUUAAAAUAAUGCAAAUUACUCAUUGGCUAUACAUUGUUAAGCUCUAGAAUGUUAUAGAGUUCAGUAUGGCAUUAUUAGGUUAAUUUAUAAUAGCCUGAUAUUAUGCUAUUAUGAUAGUAUCAAGCAGUUUCAGUAGAUUAAUACAUGGUCUCAAAAGGGGGGAAGUGGGAUAUGAUUGCUAUCUCAUCUUAAUGCCUCUCUAGGCCUGAUAAUUUAAAAGGACUGGAAUGCCUCAGAUAAAUUUCUUUCCUUGUUAACGUAUGGAUUAUAAGAUUAAAAUAAAAAAAGUUCUUCCUAAACUAUGUUCCAACCCAUCUCAGGUAUCACAAUGAACCGGCAGGAGUAAGGUAGGUUAGAAAGGGUGAUCACAGCCUCCCAUAAAAGGGAACAAACUUGCCAAAUAGAUGGAGAGAACAAACUGUCUGUCAGCGCAUGUAAUGUGUCCUGGGCUCCUGGUUGGAAGAUCCAGCAGCAGGAAAUAAAGGAAAAGAAGGGAAAAUCCCCAAACUUGUACAAGCUCAGAAACCCAUGAUUAGUUUCCUUGGGCUGACCUAUGUCCAUUAUAAUAGUAAAAAACAUAUCCUUGGGUGGAAAAUUAAAAUGCUAAUGAGACAUGUGAUGUAUGUACUAGCAUGUACGGUCACUGUGCAGGUGGGCCUAAGAAACCACCCACAACAGGCUUAAUCGCAACAUCCCUUCCUGUCCUUUUAUGAAUAAUCAUGUAAAUCUCCCAUAAACAGAAGUUUCUCAGUGCCAGCCAAUGCGGGCUUACGCUCAAGCAACCUGCUCUGACUUAGCUAUC